GCGGCACCUGGUUUUCUUUCGUUUUUGUCAUGGGUCUUCACCAUAGACUCACCUACACCCUCCGUCGUGACCUUGCUUUGGAAGGAGCUUCCCUUGUGCUUUGA
rnacentral:ribozyme from 1 species